GGACUCCAGCACCUUGGUCCUCACUGUUGGGAUUGCUGGGAUUCUGUGUAGUCCAGUCCUGAAUAAGGAACUGAAGAAACAACCACAGGGUGGGUUUGCAGAACCCCUGGGCCUAUCACGAGAUGGUCUCAGGCCUGCAUCCCUCUGCCUGGGGACCUAGAACAGCAUGUCAAGUCCUAGAGAUGAGCAGACCAGAGACUGAGGUUUUGGGAAGCAUUUAUUGAGUGCCUGCUGUGGGACUUUGGCUGAAAUCAAAGCCACAGUGUGGCUAAGGGUUCACCCAGUCUCGGGGGCCAGACGACCCCCACCCUCCCUGCACAGACGACACCAAAGCAACUGCACUGGAGGCUUUGCUUCCCAAAGCCCAUGGAAUAAGCUCCAGGGAAGAGUGGGUCCUCCUUGCCUGGGAGGGCAUUGGGCCCUGCUUGGUGGGCAGCUCUGGGUCUUUCUCCUGACUCCGGGGGGCUUGGGAUUGGCCUGCAGGAGGUCAGGGUCUGAAGUAGGAGGCUUCAUGCAUCUGCACACCCUCCCCUGGGCCUUCCCACCCCACCACUGCCAGCCUCUGCACUUUUGCCUUGGCUGUGCCUCUGUGGGAAUGCCCUUCCCCUGAGAUCAUCCUCUGGGAUUAGUUCCUGUAUAAAAGGGACCCCAGAGAGCUCCCUUGCCCUUUCUGCCACAGCAAGAAGAUGGUCAUCUUGGAAUCAGGACGCUGGCGCUCACCAGACACCAAAUCAGCCACCAGCUUGGUCUUGGAGCUCCACACUCCAGAACUGUGAGAAAUAAAACUCUGUAGUUUAUGGUAUUUCUGUUAUAGAAGCCCGAACCAACUAAGGCACUGGUAAUGCUGAUUAUAUUAAUGUUGACUAAGCCUUCAUCUAAGUAUAUUGGCGUAUUUGAGGAACUUGAAACAGUGGUGGCCACAGCAGGUGCUUAAUAAAAGGGAUAUAUGUGCAUCUGUCCCAUUUUCCUUUGUCCUUAGAAGGGGCUGUCCCUGAAGGCCACCCGAUCCAAGCAAGCUGUCUGUGCUAAGCUUAUGUCACUAUUCAACCUUCAUUGUGUGCAGACAUUGUGGAGCACAUGCCCUGCACCAAGGCCACACCACUGCAGGCAGGUCUGAGGGAGCCACCAGGACGCUGCUGGUGACAGCGUUUCACAGAGGGGCCACAGGAGCAGAGCGUCACCCAGCUGAGGGCCACAGGCAGGUCUGAGGGAGCCACCAGGACGCUGUUGGUGAUAGCGUUUCACAGAGGGGCCACAGGAGCAGAGCGUCACCCAGCUGAGGGCCACAGGCAGGUCUGAGGGAGCCACCAGGGCGCUGUUGGUGACAGCGUUUCACAGAGGGGCCACAGGAGCAGAGCGUCACCCAGCUGAGGGCCACAGGCAGGUCUGAGGGAGCCACCAGGACGCUGUUGGUGAUAGCGUUUCACAGAGGGGCCACAGGAGCAGAGCGUCACCCAGCUGAGGGCCACAGGCAGGUCUGAGGGAGCCACCAGGGCGCUGUUGGUGACAGCGUUUCACAGAGGGGCCACAGGAGCAGAGCGUCACCCAGCUGAGGGCCACAGGCAGGUCUGAGGGAGCCACCAGGGCGCUGUUGGUGACAGCGUUUCACAGAGGGGCCACAGGAGCAGAGCGUCACCCGGCUGAGAGGUCGGCUUGCACGAGUUGCUCCUACAAUUCUCUCCAUUUUAAGUUUGAAAAUUCCCGCGAGGCAGCCAGGAGCACGUCCUUCCGGAGUA
ensembl:lncRNA